GACGGAGGGGGCAAGCGUUAUCCGGAAUUACUGGGCGUAAAGGGUGCGUAGGCGGCUUGGCAAGUCUGGGGUGAAAGCCCGCAGCUCAACUGCGGAUCGGCCCUGGAAACUGUCCGGCUUGAGUGAGGUAGGGGUUACCGGAAUGCCCCGUGUAGCGGUGAAAUGCAUAGAUAUCGGGCAGAACACCAGCUGCGAAAGCGCGUAGCUGGGCCUAAACUGACGCUGAGGGACGAAAGCGAGGGGAGCGAAUGGG
rnacentral:rRNA from 1 species